CAACUAAGCGCAUACGGUGGAUGCCUUGGCAGUCAGAGGCGAUGAAGGACGUUGGAGCUUGCGAAAAGUCUCGGGGAGGUAGCAACCAACCUUUGAUCCGGGAAUGUCCGAAUGGGGAAACCCACCUAGCAUAAGCUAGGUAUCUCUUGACUGAAUACAUAGGUCUUGAGAGGCGAACCAGGGGAACUGAAACAUCUAAGUACCCUGAGGAAAAGAAAUCAACCGAGAUUCCCUUAGUAGUGGCGAGCGAACGGGGACUAGCCCUUAAGUGGCUUUGAGAUUAGCGGAACGCUCUGGAAAGUGCGGCCAUAGUGGGUGAUAGCCCUGUACGCGAAAAUCUCUUAGUCAUGAAAUCGAGUAGGACGGAGCACGAGAAACUUUGUCUGAAUAUGGGGGGACCAUCCUCCAAGGCUAAAUACUACUGACUGACCGAUAGUGAACCAGUACCGUAA
rnacentral:rRNA from 1 species